UAUUUGUCUGCGUUAGGGAUGGAAGCGGCAUCCUUUUUUAUGGCUUUUUCUGCCAUAAAAAAGAUAUAGCGGACAGCCCGACCCUUU
rnacentral:sRNA from 1 species